rnacentral:rRNA from 1 species
UAACUCCUGUUAAGUGGGAAGAAAGGGUGGCAUCUAAUACAUGCCAUGAAUGACGGUACCACUAGAGAAAGCACCGGCAAACUUCGUGC